rnacentral:lncRNA from 1 species
UGCAAAUCUUAACUAUACAGCUGGAUGAGCACUUAGAAAUAUAACCAUCAUCCAGAUAAUGAUGUAGAAUACUUAUUUCAACAAAGAGCUUUACCUUAUCUCAAUUUCAGUCAAUAUUCAACUUUCUUCUCCUCGGAAACCUCUACUCUGAUUUUUAACCUAUCAAUAAGUUUUGCCUGUUCACAAACAUAACUCUUAACAGAGAAAACAACAUAGUUUGCCAAGUUGCCUUCACAGAACAAUUUAAUACCCGUUAUAUCUAAUCACAGACUUGAAUUUCACUAGUAAAAUGCAUUACUGUGUUACUUGAACAAUAACGCCAAUCCUAUGAAAAUAUGAUGUAAAGUGUCAGCAUAUGACACAUAUAUAACAACAUUUUCUUCUCCUUGUAUCACCACAAUCUAUAGAUGAGAAGGAAAAAGAACAAAAAUAUCUCCAGAAAAACCUUCUACAGUAUAUGGGCAAAUGACAUUGUUGGAAAAUGUCCAACGGUUAAAGAAGUUUACCUUGUGAAUGUAAUGGAAUAUUACCUCAGAGUGAUGACUUCUUGGAUUCUUCUUCAUUUGAGGAGCCUUAGUGAACACAAUUUCUAUGGCCCUGCCUUCUCAUUGAUAGGCUGAACUGGAAUGAAAGAACAUGAGCUGAAUAUUUCAUACUGUGCUGGAAAUCUACCUGCAAAGCUAGCUGAACUCCUCUUCACAGACCGCUCACAGCAGAGUUGGAUUCGCGGUGCAACAGGCCCAUUCCCGUUACAGGAGAAAGUGCGUACUGGAUUUUCAGCUCUAUAAAAUAUAUGCUUUACUUACAAAUUUAGGACUGUCCACUGACUGAAACUUAAAGAUCAAAGUUUUAAAUGUGAACAAUGAGGUUAAUCAGAGUAAUAAGACAAACAUCAGGAAAAAAAUUAUAAUCAUCUGACGCUAGCAGAUAACAUGACUGCCAUUUGGUAAAUCUUCAGAGCAAGUCCUUUUUAAGCAGUAACACUGAUGUAUGACUUACAUAUGGUUUUGGAUAUCCUUGUGUAAUAAAAUUAAAAAUGAACCCCCA